UGCAGUCGAACGAAUCCUCACCGCUGUAGCAAUACAGUGGUGAGGGAAAGUGGCGAAAGGGGCAGUAAGGCGUGGGUAACCUACCCCGGGGACCGGAAUAGCCAUCCUAACGGGUGGGUAGUGCCGGGCGAUAUGGCGAGGCCGCAUGGUCAUGCCAUGAGAUGAAUUUCGCCUCGGGAGGGGCUCACGUGGUAUUAGCUAGUUGGUGGGGUAACGGCCUACCAAGGCGAAGAUGCCUAGCGGGUGUGAGAGCACGACCCGCGCCACUGGCACUGAGACACUGGCCAGACUCCUACGGGAGGCUGCAGUCGAGGAUCUUCGGCAAUGGGCGCAAGCCUGACCGAGCGACGCCGCGUGCGCGAUGAAGGCCUUCGGGUUGUAAAGCGCUGUCGAGGGGGAGGAAAGCCGGGUAACCGGUCUGACUAAUCCCUGGAGGAAGCACGGGCUAAGUUCGUGCCAGCAGCCGCGGUAAGACGAACCGUGCGAACGUUGUUCGGAAUCACUGGGCUUAAAGGGCGCGUAGGCGGGCGGCCAAGUCAGGAGUGAAAUCUUUCGGCUCAACCGGAAAAGUGCUCUUGAUACUGGCUGUCUUGAGGGAGAUAGGGGCAUGUGGAACUUCCGGUGGAGCGGUGAAAUGCGUUGAUAUCGGAAGGAACGCCGGUGGCGAAAGCGACGUGCUGGACCUCUUCUGACGCUGAGGCGCGAAAGCUAGGGUAGCGAACGGGAUUAGAUACCCCGGUAGUCCUAGCCCUAAACGAUGGGUACUAGGUAGUAGACUUGACAUGGGUUUACUGCCGAAGCAAAAGUGCUAAGUACCCCGCCUGGGGAGUAUGGUCGCAAGGCUGAAACUCAAAGGAAUUGACGGGGGCUCACACAAGCGGUG
rnacentral:rRNA from 1 species